rnacentral:rRNA from 1 species
UACGAAGGGUGCAAGCGUUACUCGGAAUUACUGGGCGUAAAGGGCUCGUAGGCGGCCAACUAAGUCAGACGUGAAAUCCCCAGCUUAACCUGGGAACUGCGUCGGAUACUGGAUGGCUUGAAUUCGGGAGAGGGAUGCAGAAUUCCAGGUGUAGCGGUGAAAUGCGUAGAUAUCUGGAGGAAUACCGGUGGCGAAGGCGGCAUCCUGGACCGACAUUGACGCUGAUGAGCGAAAGCUAGGGGAGCAAACGGG